rnacentral:tRNA from 1 species
UUCCUGGUGGUCCAGUGGUUAAGUUGCUGCACUUUUGUUGCAGGGGACACAGGUUUGAUCCCUGAUCUGGGAA